rnacentral:rRNA from 1 species
GAGUUUGAUCAUGGCUCAGAGCGAACGCUGGCGGCAGGCCUAACACAUGCAAGUCGAACGCACCUUCGGGUGAGUGGCGGACGGGUGAGUAACACGUGGGAACGUACCUUUAGGUUCGGAACAACUCAGGGAAACUUGAGCUAAUACCGAAUGUGCCCUUCGGGGGAAAGAUUUAUCGCCUUUAGAGCGGCCCGCGUUAGAUUAGCUAGUUGGUGGGGUAAUGGCCCACCAAGGCUACGAUCUAUAGCUGGUCUGAGAGGAUGAUCAGCCACACUGGGACUGAGACACGGCCCAGACUCCUACGGGAGGCAGCAGUGGGGAAUCUUGCGCAAUGGGCGAAAGCCUGACGCAGCCAUGCCGCGUGAAUGAUGAAGGUCUUAGGAUUGUAAAAUUCUUUCAGCAGGGACGAUAAUGACGGUACCUGCAGAAGAAGCCCCGGCUAACUUCGUGCCAGCCGCCGCUGUAAG